AGUUUUAUUACAAUAUUAAAUAUUUUUUUUUAACUGGUUAAUAUCAAAGUGCACUGAAAUCAUUGUAGUGUCUCCCAUGACAACUCUUCAUUUAUGAUAUAUAAAACACAGAUUUACAAAAUACUAUGGCUAAUACAUUUUAUGCAACAAGAAACACCCUUUUCUAGAUCAUCAUUUGCAUGUCAGAGUUUUUGAAUACCACAAGAGAGAAGCUCUGCAUUGGGGAAACUUCUGAUUUCCUCUUUUCACAGGUUUAUUAAGCUACAAUCAACGACAGAACAACACAGAGAGGAGAGAACGUGACCGAAGGGAACACGUGAACUGACGAGAACAUAACUUAGGGCAUUUUCAGACAUAUUUAAACAGUACCGUCACACGGAACACACUAAGAUGAAAGCCCAUUGUGGCUUCCUGAACAGGUGGAGGCUGGAGGCUUGGGUUCAUGAACAGGUGGAGGCUGGGGGGUUGGGUUCAUGAACAGGUGGAGGCUGGAGGGUUGGGUUCAUGAACAGGUGGAGGCUGGAGGGUUGGGUUCAUGAACAGGUGGAGGCUGGGGGGUUGGGUUCAUGAACAGGUGGAGGCUGGAGGGUUGGGUUCAUGAACAGGUGGAGGCUGGAGGGUUGGGUUCAUGAACAGGUGGAGGCUGGGGGGUUGGGUUCAUGAACAGGUGGAGGCUGGAGGGUUGGGUUCAUGAACAGGUGGAGGCUGGAGGGUUGGGUUCAUGAACAGGUGGAGGCUGGGGGGUUGGGUUCAUGAACAGGUGGGGGCUGGAGGGUUGGGUUCAUGAACAGGUGGGGGCUGGAGGGUUGG
ensembl:lncRNA